rnacentral:rRNA from 1 species
UACGUAGGGGGCAAGCGUUGUCCGGAAUUAUUGGGCGUAAAGAGCGCGUAGGCGGUCCGAUAAGUCGGCUGUGAAAGUCAUGGGCUCAACCCCAUGAAAGCCGGCCGAUACUGUCGGACUAGAGUCCGGAAGAGGCGAGUGGAAUUCCUGGUGUAGCGGUGAAAUGCGCAGAUAUCAGGAGGAACACCGGUGGCGAAGGCGGGUCUCUGGGCCGUAACUGACGCUGAGGAGCGAAAGCAUGGGGAGCGAACAGG